UGUUGCAUUAUUCCAAAUAAAUAGAUUAUUAUCCAUAAAUAAAUGUAACGAGAUUCACAAAAAUAUAUCAAAUUCACAAAUAAAUGUAAAGAGUUUCACAAAAAAAUAUAAAACGCACAAAUAAAUAAAAUGAGAUUUGCAAAUAAAAAAAUAUAUAUUUACAAAUGUGUUUAAUGUCACAAACACAACUCUACCUGGCAUUUAUUUGUGCACCGCUGUCUGUGCAUUUGUAAAUUACUGCACGCAUUUGUGGAUCGCUUCCUGUGCAUUUGUGGAUUUGAAACACUUCUAGCGUCGACGUGCAGAUAAAUCCACAAAUAAGUGGACUCCACCCACCGUCUACUUAACCCAAUCAGACAACGCCCAUGUUGCACUGACCAAUCGCAGCACGCUCUCUCUCCAACCAAUCACGUUUUGCCUAACAACCAGGGCGGGAUCAGACACAUGAACGCGAGUCACUCGCUACAGUCUCUUCAACAUGGCCGAUCAAGAGGAGUAAAGACAGGACAGUGAGGCAGCAAAUGACAGACUAAUCCACUUUCUGAAGCUUGGAUUACCCCAGGAAAACAUCAGUAACAUUUUAGGUGUCACUCAUACAACUAUCGUUCGUUGGAUGAGAGAAUGUGUUUGGCCAGAGAGAGAAUCCAAUAAUUAACCCUGAGAUGGAAUAUUCAGACUCAAUGGCAGUUGAACAAGAUGGUGGAGAUGCUGACCAUGUUCACUUUGCAGUCAACGUGCCUGUAAUUCACAGGCCACAACUCACAAAUGAGCAAAUUGACCCACUGCAAGUGUCUGAUUCAUUUGGAGUAGAUGUAUACCUCAAGACUCUCACAUAUGUACAGACUUUGAUUGAAUAAAGGGAUAUUUGAAGGUU